CCUUAACUGAGAUAUUACUGUACUUCCAGGGGCAGAGUUGUAAACCAGGGAGAAAGAAGAGUCAGCCAGAUGUUUUUUCCUAGUUCCUGCGUGCAGCUUCUGGCUGAACCGGCAUUCAGCCGGCCCGGACACUUCCAAACAGGCAAUAGGAUGCCACAGACCUUCUACCAGAUCUUCCCCUUCUGCUUCCCUGGCGUUGGAUUGCUCCAUAAAGCAUGUUUGUGCCUUUUCACCUUUUGACUAACAUGGGACAAAGAAAAUUUGUUUGACCCUCCUAUCAGAAUUAGAUUAUUUUAUUUUGUGCUUUGAAUUCCAAAUGAUGUGAUUUCCUAAAUAUAAUCCUAUUUUGUGCUCCAAACUUCUUCUGGGUUUGAACCUUCUGUACUGCUCUACACUCUAACUCUAACUCUAACCUGUGGACUUCUUGGACUCCAGCUGCUAUCAGGCCCAGUCAGCAUGGCUAAUGGUCAAGUUUGAUGGGAGUAGAAGUCCAACAACAUCUGGAGGACUAAGGUUUUCUAUUUCUGUUCUAAAUGUUCUGUUUUGUUUUAGCGAUAUUGAUGUUUUGGUUUUAUGGAAGAAACUGCUGCUUAGAGGGCAAAUAAAGAUAUAUAUAUAAAUUGCCAAUUCAGUGUAAUGGCAAGAGACAUCUCCCAGCUUUUUUUCAGAUAUAAAACUAUUAGACCGCAGAGUUUCCCAACCUUUGGGUCCCCAGAUGUUGUCAGACAUCAACUCCCACCAGCCCCAGCCAGCAUGGCCAAUGGUUAGGAAGAAUGGGAAUUGUAGUCCAGCAACAUCUGGGGACUUAAAGGUCAGAAAAGGCUUUUAGAGUACACAGGGCCAAGAGGCUGGUAAGUUGUAACACACCCAUCCUCCUUAGCCUUAGUAAUGUGUCUCAUGCACAGAUCACUAGGUGCUGAAUGUAGGUUUCCCCCAAUAAAUAAUCAUAUUUCCAUAAAUUGGAUCCAGAAGGACAAUGCACUAAUGGAAGCCUGUUUCUGUGUGUACAACACCCUUAUUAUUUAUAUCAGGCUGUAUAUGUUUGUUUUUGUAUUAGAUCACAGUUUUAAUUCUCACUAUAUGCUGUUUAUGUUCUGCCAUGCUAAUACAUUGGUUGUGGUGCUAUUUGGGCACAAGAUUACAGAUAAUUAUUCCCAUUCAUUCUGGUUUUCCUUUCAUGUUUUGCCAAUUGGGUUUUUCCAGCAUGCCCAUUCAUUGUUGCUAUGGGGAAUAGCCUUUUUGCUAUUUACCAUUUAUGUUGUAAAUUUUGGUGCUCAAAGUGCUUUUUUGUUGGGGAAGAGAAUGACAAAAAUGUGAGAAAACUCAAGGGCUGCCUAUAAGAUUACUUUUCCAGCUAAAGGACCUGGUUCUUCAAAUCUCUGAAUUUCAAAUCUCUGAGUGACUGGAAGAUUUCUUAAACAUCUUUUGUUUAUGAUAUAGUAAAAGUGAUGGCUUUGGGUAAAGGUGCCAUGAUCCCUCAGCAUUAAUGCAAUAGUUUGCCAUAGGUGCAAAAUAAAAAUAUCCAGAGGAGUAUGCAGCAAAAACAAUUGAAGAGUUUUGUGGUACCUACGCUAAAGACUAACACUUUUAUUAUGGCAUAAGCUUUCCUGGACUCAGAUCCAUUUUACAGAUGCAUGAAGUGAAAUCUUAGUUGACAUGUAUAUAAAGGAGAAAAUUGU